CCAGACUCCUACGGGAGGCAGCAGUGGGGAAUAUUGCACAAUGGGCGCAAGCCUGAUGCAGCGACGCCGCGUGGGGGAUGACGGCCUUCGGGUUGUAAACUCCUUUCGUUAGGGACGAAGCCGCACUUUUUUUGGGUGUGGUGACGGUACCUUUGUUAAGAAGCACCGGCUAACUACGUGCCAGCAGCCGCGGUAAUACGUAGGGUGCGAGCGUUGUCCGGAAUUACUGGGCGUAAAGAGCUCGUAGGUGGUUUGUUGCGUCGUCUGUGAAAUUCCGGGGCUUAACUUCGGGGUGGCAGGCGAUACGGGCAUAACUAGAGUGCUGUAGGGGAGACUGGAAUUCCUGGUGUAGCGGUGGAAUGCGCAGAUAUCAGGAGGAACACCGAUGGCGAAGGCAGGUCUCUGGGCAGUAACUGACGCUGAGGAGCGAAAGCAUGGGGAGCGAACAGGAUUAGAUACCCUGGUAGUCCAUGCUGUAAACGGUGGGCGUUAGGUGUGGGGACCGGUUUGGUUUCUGUGCCGUAGCUAACGCAUUAAGCGCCCCGCCUGGGGAGUACGGCCGCAAGGCUAAAACUCAAAGGAAUUGACGGGGGCCCGCACAAGAAGGGCGA
rnacentral:rRNA from 1 species